CAUGUACUCCCUCCGUCCGAAAAUACUUGUCAUUGAAAUGGAUGUAUCUAGAUGUAUUUUAGUUCUAGAUGCAUCCAUUUUAAUCCAUUUUGAUGACAAGUAUUUUCGGACGGAGAGAGUAGUAU
rnacentral:pre_miRNA from 1 species